AUAGAGGCGUUUUCCGUGCCGGACCGUGUCCAAGUUCCUUGGAACAGGAUAUCAAAGAGGGUGACAAUCCCGUACUUGACACGACGACCGGUGCUCUGUGAUACGUCUUCUACGAGUCGAGUUGUUUGGGAAUGCAGCUCAAAAUGGGUGGUGAGUUCCAUCUAAAGCUAAAUAUUGGCGAGAGACCGAUAGCGAACAAGUACCGUGAGGGAAAGAUGAAAAGCACUUUGGAAAGAGAGUUAAACAGUACGUGAAAUUGUUGAAAGGGAAACGAUUGAAGUCAGUCGUGACCGAGAGGCUCAGCCGGCUCUGCCGGUGUAUUCCCCUCGGUCGGGUCAACAUCAGUUUUGUCCGGUGGAUAAGGGCGGUAGGAAGGUGGCACCCUCGGGUGUGUUAUAGCCUGCCGUCGCAUACAUCGGGUGAGACUGAGGAACGCAGCUCGCCUUUAUGGCCGGGGUUCGCCCACGUCCGAGCUUAGGAUGUUGACAUAAUGGCUUUAAACGACCCGUCUUGAAACA
rnacentral:rRNA from 1 species